AAUGAUCAAAGCAUUGAAACUGUCUUGUCAAAGGAACGUUAUUCCUGUACUGUUCUCUCCAUUUGGUCUGCAGAAAACACACAGAUCCUUUUACUCUCUGUUUCAAACAACAGGCUGGCCCCAGCUCUUCUGCUAGAGAAACAACACAGUACUUAGCAGAAAAACAUGUGUAGUUUGAGAAGAUGGAAAAACUAGAUUGUGAAUAACUCCAAACAAGAGCUAGGUCGGAGACUGUGGCUGAUUUCUUCAGAAGAAUAACUGAGUCUCUAAGUCAUCACCGAACAAUUUGGUACCUGGCAACAGAACGAAUGAGCUGAACCUGAAGACAUGUUAGGCAAGAGAAAAAUGAUUCAUAUGCAGAGACUAGGUGGACGUUGCCUCCUACCGAACUGUUCACCUGCCACGAAGUGACUUCUGCAUUGGMCUGCUGAGGGGAGUUCUUGGUCCCUGCAACAGCACAGAGCCAUUUCGGAUAAGCAGCGGAUCAGCCAGUGCCAUCCCUGGGACAGGUCUCUCCUGUCCUCUCGGCAGGGGAAGCCAGCAGCUCCAGGCAAGCCCAUGUCCUCCUCCUGACUGCGAGUCCACGCCUCGCAAUCCCAUCCUGAAAACAGUUGCCCAGGGAGCCUUCCCAGGCCUGCCUGUAUCCUGGGAAAGGAGCCUGCUGCGGCCACCUCAAGCUUGAGACGGAGAGAGAGAGCGAGUCUGGCCACAGGACGCGAAACACCAAAACUCCAGGAAUAAGGUUCAUAUUCUGAGGAGAAGUCAUUAGUCUCAUUAUUAUAUAUGCUACGAAGAGGUAAGGUCUUGUGUGGAACAGAAGUGGGCAGAGAUAAGGGACUUCAGAGGAAAAC
rnacentral:lncRNA from 1 species